rnacentral:rRNA from 1 species
GACGAACGCUGGCGGCGUGCUUAACACAUGCAAGUCGAACGGAAAGGCCCUGCUUUUGUGGGGUGCUCGAGUGGCGAACGGGUGAGUAACACGUGAGUAACCUGCCCUUGACUUUGGGAUAACUUCAGGAAACUGGGGCUAAUACCGGAUAGGAGCUCCUGCUGCAUGGUGGGGGUUGGAAAGUUUCGGCGGUUGGGGAUGGACUCGCGGCUUAUCAGCUUGUUGGUGGGGUAGUGGCUUACCAAGGCUUUGACGGGUAGCCGGCCUGAGAGGGUGACCGGCAACAUUGGGCAUGAGAUACGGCCCAGACGCCUACGGGAGGCAGCAGUGGGGAAUAUUGCACAAUGGGCGGAAGCCUGAUGCAGCAACGCCGCGUGCGGGAUGACGGCCUUCGGGUUGUAAACCGCUUUCGCAUGUGACGAAGCGUGAGUGACGGUAAUGGGUAAAGAAGCACCGGCUAACUACGUG